AAACAUUAAAUUCUACAGACAAUUUUUUUCAAAAUAUGAGAUGUUUUUAUGCACUUCUUAUUUCUAGUGAUUGACUUCAAUGAGUCAUAAAAUAUUUUAAGAUCUUUACAAAAGAAAUUAAAUGAGGGUGUUAUAGACAUUACUUUAGCUUUAUGUAUAUGAAACUUCCCGAGAAGAAUUAUUAAUUUGAAUGUGUUUAUCGCAGACGAGCUGGAAGCGAUAGAAAUUCCAUUAUUUUUGCAUGACAUUGGGCACAAUGAGCAACGAAGAAUGGUUCCAAAAAUAGACAAUUUUGUGGAGGAUGUUGUCCCUCUCUACAGUCUCUCAGAAUUUAGAGGUCAUUUCAGGCUUUCCAAAGAACAAGUGGAGGAUGUCAUUACUACCCUUGGUCCUGUUUAUAUGAAUUUACAACAGACCAAACUUCCACUCACAAACAGUGUUCUUGCCUGCCUUUGGACAUUGGCGAAUCAGGAGUCAUAUCGUGGGGUGGCAGAUAGAUUCAACAUGUCAAAAUCCACUCUUGCCAAGCAUCUCCAUGAGUUUUGUUGCAAUGUGAACACAUACAUGGCCCACCACAUUUCCUGGCCCAGAGGUCAAAGACUGGAGAUGUCAAAGUUUGGGUUUGACGCAGCAGGUUUCCCCAACACUGUAUGUGCAGUGGAUGGGUGUCACAUUCCUAUACUGAGACCCCACCUUGAUAAUCCCCUAGCAUACAUGAAUAGGAAACAGUUUUAUUCUGUAAAUUUAACUGGGUUUUGUGACAGUCAGCGGCGCUUCUGUCACAUCAGUGUGGGUUACCCUGGGAGUUGGCAUGAUGCCAGAGCAUUUCGCUUCACAGAAGUUUGUCGUGUUCUUGAAGAAGAUCCUCAUUCCCUUGUUCCACAAGGAAUGCACAUAAUUGGGGAUUCUGCCUACCCUUUGUUGCCUCAACUUAUGUGGCCACUUGUCUGCUAGGCAAAGAUACUUUAACAGAAAGCUCAAUGCAGCUCGCGUGGUCAUUGGGCAUGCAUUUGGCAUUCUAAAAUCUAAGUUUAGGAGGCUCCAUUGCCUGCAAAUGAGAAGCAUUUCCAAUAUCAGUUCAGCAGUCUCAGCCUGCUGCAUUUUGCAUAAUCUUUGUUUAGAACCCAGUGAUCAAGUUGUUGUGGUAGAUGAUGGUGUUGAUGAUGAACCACACCCCCAGCAACCCCACAACACUAAUGCAUGUCAUUAUAGAGACCAGAUUUGUGGCCAGAUCUAACUUGUAUGUGUAUACUAAACAUACAAAAGUAAAGAUUUGAAUGUACAGAAAUAUUCAACAAAUGAUAAAAAAACAGAUUUUGUGUUGAAAUAAAGAAUUUUAUUUUAUUGAACAAAAUUAGUUUGUCAUUAGAAAUUGUGUUCUUUGGGAACAUAAAAAAAAUACAUAGUAGACAUUUUGGGGAAAGGUGUAAAUCAAAAGAGAAAACAUCUUUACAUUAUCAUUUUAUUGAGGUUCAUGUGGAUUCUGUAAUAGAUGCAUAAUUUGCUCUUGUCUUUUUCCCAUUUUCUUCAGCUCCUCCACAAUUGUUCCCAAGCUGGUCACCAUCUUUUUUUCGAAGGACCUUCUCCGCCUCUCCUUAAGUCGCCACCAUCUCCCCAGAUCUGGCCUUACCAGGGACUCAAGCACAGCAGUCCUUCUCUCUGCAUGCUCUUCGUAAGCCUCCAGAAAUUGUAAGGGUUGUGGUCGUCUUUGCCUGCUUGUGACGUUUGUAUUUGGUAUGGUAGAGGUUCCUGGCUGUUCAUCCAUACUAGCACCUGCUGGCUGGUCUUGAAGAGAAGACGUUGUGGGCAUGCUUUGGGUGGAGGUCUCUUCCAAACCUAGAGGUGUGGAGUGAAUGGUGCCAAGUGGUGCAGUACCGAUCCCGAUGACCCAAAUAACUCAUCCAUUAGCUGGUGGGGGUGGAUUUCAAAUGUAAAAUGAAAAUGGCCAAUGUAAGACAUGACAAUGUUAUUUCAGAAACAUAAAGUAAAGCAGUCUUCAACUUACUGUAUAGUACUCCCAGGUGAUCUUCCCCUCCCCAGUUGCACGGCGCCUGUCUUUUACUCUCUUAUAAGUGGUUAACAUGUUUGCUAGUUUUUUUUCGAAUUUUUUCACUUGACAAGUUGUAGCCCUUUUGUGAGAAUGAGUUUUGUAUUUUUUUAUAGAACGCCAUUUUGUUCCUAAAAUAAAGUUGCUGGUGAGUUUUUGUAAGGUCCAGUAGAAAUAGUGUGAUUUUUUACAUGUUAUUUCUGUAAAAUGGAGGGGAUAAGGAGAGAAAUAGAUUAACACUACAAAACAAAGAAAAUGUAAUUUAACCACAGUAUUGACAUUUAUCUUCCUUACAGUAUUUGAUAUAAUACCUUGAGAUUCAUGCCUGUCUGACUGGAAGGAGGGGGAUGAAGGUUGAAUGGAUGCUGAAGGGUUUCCACACACUGCACCAGGUUGCAGAGUGGCAGGCGGUGGGUCCUUGACAGUGGAGGUAAGUAGUACAGGGGGCCUAGUGGUAGUAAUCGGGUACUGGCUGGUUGAUGGUGGAGGUGGUACAGGGGGCCUAGUGGUAGUAAUCAGGUACUGGCUGGUUGAUGGUGGAGGUGGUACAGAGGGUCUAGUUGUAGUAUUGGGGCACUGGCUGAUUGAUGGUGGUUUCACAAAACUGAGGUUUAGGGGUACCGGCGACCUAGUGGAGGUAGUGAGACAUGGAAUAAGAGGUUGGAGGAGCUUUGCAGCACAAGCUGGGCCACUGAGGAGAGCUGGUUGGAGAGAAGAUUGU